rnacentral:rRNA from 1 species
ACUAGGAUUAGAUACCCUAUUAUAUUAAUUUUAAUAAAACUUGAUUAUUAAAUGUAAAACAUUAAAAUUUUAAGAAAUGGCUGUCAUAUAAACUUUUAGGGGAACUUGUAUAUUAAUUUGAUGAUCCACGAUAAGAAAUACUAAUAAAAUAUAAUAUUACUUUUGUAUUGUUGUUUUAAGAUUCUAUAUUAAUAUUGUAAUUUAAAUUUUUGUUAUAAAAAAUAAUUCAAAUCAAAAUAAAGUAUUUAUUAGAUAAUAUGAGUUACAUUAAUUAAUAAUUAAUUUAAUUAAAAAUUUUAAUAUUUUUAAUAAAUUGGAUUUAAAAGUAAAAUUAAUUAUUAUAUUAAUUUGAAUUUUUAUUUAUAUGGAGUACAAAUUGCCCGUCAAUUUCAAUAAAGUUGAAAUAAGUCGUAACAUAGUAAGAAUAUUGGAAAAUGUUCUUAGAAUAAA